GUGCUAUACAUGCAAGUCGAGCGACAGACGAGGAGCUUGCUCCUCUGACGUUAGCGGCGGACGGGUGAGUAACACGUGGAUAACCUACCUAUAAGACUGGGAUAACUUCGGGAAACCGGAGCUAAUACCGGAUAACAUGUUGAACCGCAUGGUUCAACAGUGAAAGACGGUCUUGCUGUCACUUAUAGAUGGAUCCGCGCCGCAUUAGCUAGUUGGUAAGGUAACGGCUUACCAAGGCAACGAUGCGUAGCCGACCUGAGAGGGUGAUCGGCCACACUGGAACUGAGACACGGUCCAGACUCCUACGGGAGGCAGCAGUAGGGAAUCUUCCGCAAUGGGCGAAAGCCUGACGGAGCAACGCCGCGUGAGUGAAGAAGGUCUUCGGAUCGUAAAACUCUGUUAUUAGGGAAGAACAAAUGUGUAAGUAACUAUGCACGUCUUGACGGUACCUAAUCAGAAAGCCACGGCUAACUACGUGCCAGCAGCCGCGGUAAUACGUAGGUGGCAAGCGUUAUCCGGAAUUAUUGGGCGUAAAGCGCGCGUAGGCGGUUUUUUAAGUCUGAUGUGAAAGCCCACGGCUCAACCGUGGAGGGUCAUUGGAAACUGGAAAACUUGAGUGCAGAAGAGGAAAGUGGAAUUCCAUGUGUAGCGGUGAAAUGCGCAGAGAUAUGGAGGAACACCAGUGGCGAAGGCGACUUUCUGGUCUGUAACUGACGCUGAUGUGCGAAAGCGUGGGGAUCAAACAGGAUUAGAUACCCUGGUAGUCCACGCCGUAAACGAUGAGUGCUAAGUGUUAGGGGGUUUCCGCCCCUUAUUGCUGCAGCUAACGCAUUAAGCACUUCGCCUGGGGAGUACGACCGCAAGGUUGGAACUCAAAAGGAAUUGGAUGGGGACUCGCACUAAUCGUUGGAUCAUGUCUUUUA
rnacentral:rRNA from 2 species